rnacentral:lncRNA from 1 species
UUAAUGUCUACAUUUCAAGUGUCAUUCCUCCUCGACAUUCAAACAAACAUAUAUGUCAAAGUGAUGUUUUUUCCAUCAUACAUUAAAAGGCAAGGUUAUCAAAUAUAAAUGUUAAAACAAAAAAUAAAAGAACCUCAUGUCCAUUAUGGCAAAGAAAACUACAUGCACAUGGCAUAAGUUUGUUUUUCUGAGGAUACAACUACAACACGAUGAAUAAAAUCAACGUAUACGAAGCAUAUACUAUAUAA